rnacentral:rRNA from 1 species
GGUUGAUCCUGCCAGUAGUCAUAUGCUUGUCUCAAAGAUUAAGCCAUGCAUGUCCAGUAUAAAUCUUUAUACGGUGAAACUGCGAAUGGCUCAUUAAAUCAGUUAUAAUUUAUUUGAUAGUACCUUACUACUUGGAUAACCGUGGUAAUUCUAGAGCUAAUACAUGCAUUUAAAGGCCUAACUUUUUUGAAAGGCUGUAUUUAUUAGAUAAAAACCAUCGUUUAGAAAUAAACUUUUUGGUGAUUCAUAAUAACUUCUCGGAUCGUAUGACCUUGUGUCGACGACGUAUCAUU